UUCUGUUUCUAUCCGCGUCGCGUUGUGUACCGCACGUGUGUUAACGUCGCGUCGCUGCGCCACUUAGCGUCCCGACGCCGCCGUUUUCUCUCGACGCUUGCCGGCACGCGCGCACACGCUGCUACCUACAGCACCCUUUGGUACCAGUGAUUUGCUUUGUUUUAACGACAACCAUACGCAAAAUCCAUGCUGUUGUACGCACAGAGAUGAUACGAGCCACUAAAUCGUUGCAAGGUUUAUAUACGUGGCUUGACACGUGCGUUUUCUGUGUCAGUGUAUUUGUUAUUAUUCUACCCAAAAUAUAACAUUAAAUGAAAAGAAAGGGAGGGUAGACAUAGAAUUUGACAAUUCACCACACACCCAAAUUAUGAGGAUAAAUACAAAUUCAUCCAGAUACCUUGGACGAGUCGCUUUCGGUGGCGAGACAAUCUGCCAAGGACGGUGAUCGGAACAGUCGCAAAGUGGCCGGAAUAUAGCAGAGACAUUAAAGCCGAUUUUACAAGGGGCACGAUGUUCCGUCCGAGCAACAGCGGUCACGACGAUACUGCAUCGACCCUCGGCUCGGUGGCGGGCCGGGAUAAUUUCUAUUUCGAUCAUUAGAAGACAAAACGUGUCCACGUGUGUUCGACUGAUAGUAUCGGGGCAACAAGCCCAGCAAGGGAACGGAACAGUGUGUUGGCCGUGUAAACGGUAGAUGAGCACAGUGGAGUCCAGGACCUCGAAGCAACGGCUAGUGGACCAGUGGGGCAGGUUUCCUCGGACCUCCAGAGAGGCACGAGAGGCCAACACGGGUGGAUAGAAAGAGAAAGAGAAACGAACGGCGAGAGAACCUAGAAAUGAAGGGAACCAAACCGGGGGAUUCAAGACUUAUUACCAGAUUGCGGAUUUUACGUAUUGAUCGAAGAAGCGAAUGUGCAGAAAAUGGAAACACGGGUGUAUCAAACCUUCUCCUGACCAAUUCAACGGAGCGGCGAACGCACCGGUCUUGCCUACUCGAGCGCUAGAAGGUCUUUAGAUAAAUGAUGUUGCCAAGAGACGAUUUGAUCGACGGCCGUCGAUGAUAUAUUGAGCCCACGGUGAGACGAUGACGUUAAUCAAAAGGGAUCCCGACCACGAAUGCCGAAGAUAGCGGGAGGCCUGAGGUCGUUGGAGAAUUUCAGGAAAAGGACAAUCUGCGAGUCAAAUUCCAUCUCCUUUCAUCAAGCAACCUGGAUAUCUCAUUCCAGGAUCGCGAUGCGUCUGGAAUUCAUCGGGCGCCAGCAUUGUUCCAUUAUUAGAGCGUCGUCGGUAGCGAUCAGCCGGUAAAUCAACGGCGGAGAACGGGUGCGCGCGGUGCGUAACAGAAAUUAAACGACCGAUUCGCAGAUUUAAGAUCCCCGGGAGCGAUUGACGACGCGAUAAUCGGUCACGCAACCGGAGAUCACAAUAGCCUCCGGGUGGCGGGAAUAAAUGAACUGGCUCUGAUACGAGAAAGGGGGUGAAAGGAAGCCGAGCCGGGGCGAGAUAGGAAUAAGCGAACGUGCACUGCGUUGUCGUUCUUUAGCGCGAGAACGCGGA